rnacentral:siRNA from 1 species
GCUCGGAUCGCUCGAUAUCAAUAC